ensembl:lncRNA
GUUUCCAGCAUUUUGGCUUCCUGAUUCCUCGAGCUCCUUUUGCAGAUGAUUCCAUCCCAUUCUAAUUCAGCCACUCACUUCAAGGUGAAACCCUAGGCCUUGUCAUUACUAAUAACUACAAUGCCUCCGACAACGUCAUUUUCAAACAUGCAUCUUUCUGACCACCACCUUCUCUCUUUCUAGCUUUCAUCCUUUCCUAGCCAGCUCCAACAGCCCCUCACUGAUUAGCCAUUGAUCCACCUACAUUAUGUCCUUCUCUAACUUUCCAGAAACCUUCUCCUCUCUCCUUGCUAUUUCAAUGUCUUUGCACACACCCCUCCUUCUUGCCCCUCUCCCACUUCUACAUUCUGGCUUGGUUAACCACAAGCCUGGUUAAAUCCAACUCGUUGUCUCCUACAAGCCUGUGCCUGUACAGCAGGAGAAAAACACAAAACUAGGCUGAGGGCUUCAACAGAGCCCUCAAUGCUAUUUUCCCUCCCACUCUCAGAGACCACUGUUUCCACUUUCUUCUUUCUCCUCAAACCCCUGAAAUCUCUUCCUUAUCCUCCCAUUCAGACUCUUUGCCUCCUAUUUGACUGAAAAAAAAAAAUGAAUAAAAGAAGGAAUCAGCAAAGAGCUUACAUAGACUGCCCCCAUGUCUCCCCCUUUCCGUCCUGUGCCCAUUUACUCUGCCUGAUGAUACCCAUGAAAAGCCGCUAAGGCCCAUCCCUCCACAUGGGUACCACCUCUCGAGAGUGUUGCCCCAGCACUUCUCUUCUCUCUCUUCUAGAAUUCAACUGGUUCCCUCCCCACUGUAUUAUUCCUGGCAGCACACAGAUCAAUUAUAAAAAUUAAAACUCUUUGACUCCAUGUUUCCCUUUAACUGGUGCCCUAUCAUUCCUCGUUGCAGCCACUCUUCUCAAAAGCGCCGUCUCUGGUUGCUGCCCAGUGUGACUCUUGAGCUCUGACAUCUUUGCAGUAUUCUCGAGAUUCCUCAGCUGUGAAGGGGAGAAACUGCCAUUUUCCCAGCCUUCCUUCCGUUCAACAAUUUUGUGAGACUCUUAAAAGAAAAUGGAUGUGAAUAUGCUUCGGGGGCUAUACAGAUGUAAAUAAACCCUUAUUACCCCUUACCCAGACAUUUGCUGUGAGCUACAUGGAUGACAUCCUCCUUUUACUAACGAGGAAACACGGCUGCUGAGACGUGGCAGGUUUAAAGCCACAUCAAAGGAGGUUGGAGUAUGAUGAUAGUGGAAGAUCCUUGACUAGGAUGGAAGUGUUGAACUACCAGAGAGGCACAUUUUUAGUUGCUAAGUUGCUCUCCAGGUGAUUGUACUGAUUUAUACUUCUACCAGCAGCUCCACCUUCUCCAGUCCUUUUCUUCGUGGGAUCAAAGAAGCAGCCUUUUGAUGGAAGGAAGACACACCACAGAGAUGCUGAAUGUGAGCUGACCCUCACGUGGGGACCAUUUUCCUGCAGAAGCGGCAAUAAUCAUAAUCAUAAUGCUUGCUUGAACUUGGCACUUUUCUUCUCUUCAGCAUAGAGUCUGAAAUUACCCGCUGAUGCCUUCAGCGUUGCAGUGGGCUGCUGAACAGAGGAGAGGCUGGGGGCAGCGAAGUGUGUUAUUGUGGAGAAAUUCUCAAAGCUCUCAGGGCUGUGAAUGGCUUUGGUGAAUAAGCCAACCUGGGGCAGUCCAAUAGGUGGGGUGAUAAGUAGGAAGCUGUGAUAUUGUUUCUAUAGAGGGAGUGGGCUGGAGAUCUCUCAGGGGCUGCGUUGUGUUUAAGCCACUGGGCAGAAAGGCCCAGAAGAGGACCCCGCCAAAUCUUUAGACUUAAACAAACAAAACCCUACUUCUCAGGGACCCCAGGAACACCUGGAAAUCUAGUUUUAUAGAGGAUUGGAAGCAUUGGUAAAAAUGAAUAACUCUUUGCCUUCUUUUUCCAUAAACAAUGUCACACACAUAUAGGAGGCUUCUCAGGCAUUGAUUUUCUUUGGUGUGAAUGUAACCCAUUUCUCUGGCGAUGUCUGUCCCGGAAUAAUGCAGUGUUUUUUUCCCCGUGCAAAAAAGGAGAAAUCCUGAGAAUUUAGGAAGCUUGAAGGGAACUGUUCUUCAAUCUAUUUCUUUUGGCAAUGGAUGGGAUAGAUUUCAGUAGCACAGACCUCUUCGACAUCAGCCAGGCUCCAUUUCUUUCUUCUUUUUUUUAAUCUUUAUUGAGAUAGAAUUGACAGAUAACAUUGUGUAAGUUUAAGGUGUAUAACGUGUUGAUUUGAUACCUUAUAUAUCGAACCAGUAGCACUUUCAACUUGCAGCCUUUUGUCUGAGCUGCUCUCACGAGUUCCAUUAGAACAGGACGGUUGAAUCCAGGUGGCAGGGGAUGUGUUUCAGGAGAACAUCUUUCUUUAUCAGGGUUCCUGAGCUCCAGUGUACAUAAAAUAUUGAUGCCACCUGCCACGCCUGUUCUGAUUGAUCUGGGGUAGGGACUUUUCGAAGCCCCCAUGAUGCAGCCAAUAUGGAAGUCUUUGGACUGUUCUCCCUGUCAGGGGUCCCAAACCAUCCCAGUCACCACAGGGGCAUUUGAGCACACUCGGUGGGUCAGACAGUGUUAGGCUGAUUGAAGGAGUGGCUGUCAAAUCUGCCCACGAGUUCUGUGUCCGCCCUCCCUCUAGCUGAGAGGACAGGUGUGUAGGCUUCUGCCCUAACCAGGAGCAGGUGACAUAUGCCUAAGGGAGCCAUUCACCCAGAAUCGGCAUUUUGGGCCUCAGGUUGCUGCCUGGGUUUUUCUCUCCAGCUUGGCCCUGACUUCCAGUUUCUGACCUGCUACUCUAUGUUGUCCUUCUGCUUGACUGCCUCCCUGACUUGGUCCAAAUCCCUAUUCAGAUUACUCACCUGACUCCAUAUGACCCACAAAGAAGCAGUAAAGAGGGAAGAAGCAAAGGAAGACUCUCCCUAUUAAGCACCUACGUUGUGCCAAGUGGCAGGAAAAGAGAGAUGAAGCAGACCAGCGCCUGUCCUCCGGGAGCUCACAAUCUAAUCAGGAGACAGGUGUGACAAUAAGGGUCCCACGAAGUGUCUCAGAGGCUGCUAUAAUACUGUAUGGACCGGUGCAGGCAGAAAGGAGGGAGAGGUCAGCGCUGUAGCGGCAAGGGUGACUUAGAGAAAAGGUGGAAAGUCUUCACGGAGGAGGUGACAGCAGAGCUGAGUCGGGCAGAGAGAAGUGGGUGGAAAGAGGUGAAGGAACAAGACAGCCUAGCAUGCUCGUGUUCUUGCUCAUGCUCAUGCAGUCCUUCCGUAUUCCUGCGGUAUGGAGGUUGAGGAGGGGCAGUAAGAGAUGAGGCGGGAGAGAUGGUCAGAGACUGGGUUGUGGGGGCCUGGUGAGACAGGCGAGGAAGUACAGACUAAAGCUGGGGGAACGGCCUCAGGUUGGAGCUGGCCUCAAGGAGGAGCUGGACGUCAAGUCACAGUGUGCAGAGGGGCAUGGCAUGCUUGGGCUUGACUUGGGCUGCACUGCUAUCAGAGGGCCACAGAAUGUCCUGGCGGUAGUGGUAUUUGAGGCUAGGUGUUGGUGGCCUGUUCAUUUGGAAGAAGACCUUAGGCUGUGGUUGUAGGGACAAGACACAGGGUCCACCCUGCACGAUAGGGCUGCCCAACACAAGGCCAAAUGUCAAAGCCGCAGAAAAAUGAACUGGGGUUCAUGGAAGGAGCAGCCUGGCUGUGUAGACUGGGCUAAUCCAGCUGGAGUAGGGCAAGUGUGGCUUAGGAGUUUCACCUAUGGAGACCCACUCUAGGCAGCAGAACAAUUCCGGGUCCCACGUGACAGUAGAGGGGAGACAGCUAAAGUGCUCUCUCACCUGCUCAGGCUAGCUCGCAAAUUCGGUGGAACAGAACCGCAGCUGGGGAGGCAGGACUGGGGAAGAUAGAGGCUAACGUGGAGAUUUCAGAGCAAAAGUGGUUCCAGUUUGAGUGAAGGAGGCCUGUCUUUGUUCCCCAAUAAUGCCAAACUUUCUGCUCUGUGCCCUACACAAGUAUUUCCUCUGUCAAGAGCUCUCCCCUCGCUCUGAUUUCAGCCAAGAGCUGUCAGGCCUGAGGGCCAGUCCAUAGUGCUGAAAACCCAGAAUCAGCAAGGGAAACGUCCUCACUCUCGGCCGAGCCAGCCAGGAGCUCUCUCUCCAGAGCUCUGCCUGCUCAGAGGGAGAACUGGAACAGGCUGUCCUCUCCAAGGAUUCCUCGCUUCCUCUAAAAUAAUCCUCUGGAUAGGGGCAGGCCUCGCCUCCUUCUCUGUGAAAGGAAAUUCCAGCUCCCCAGGGAACCAGCCUGUACCCUUGUCCUGUUACCUAAAUAAUCACUUUGUGAGGAUUUUCAGAAUGGUUUAUGAGGAAUCUGAUAACCUAAUCCACCCAGUCCACAGAGACAUUUUUUCAUCUACCAGAUACUCACAUCUGGGGACAUUUACUGCUAAUUUCAAAGAGCAGCUAAUGGCUUUCUCUUCCCCUAGUCAUCUGGGAUACUGAAAGAUUUUAAAUUGAAUUGUGCCUGCACUAUUUUGAAGAAAUGGUUUAAAUAAAACUACCCUGCCCAUUGAGACAGUGUCCUGGAUCCUCGGCCAUAGCCUGGGGUCCUGUCCCCAAUCCAAGGCCACCAUGUAGUCACCCAGUUGACUGUGAAGAGUUUGAGGUGAUGGGCAGAACAUCCCCAUAGGAGUACCCAGGCAUGAGUGACAUCCUUGAGUUGAUUUCACUCUCUCUAUCCUAAGGGCAGCCACAGCUGAGCGGCACUCUAGAGAAUGAGGUGUGGGCUAAAGACAGCUGCAGAGGUCUCUGGGGAAAGCAGACCCCUGCUGCAGGAUGGGGACCAGGCCUUACUCUUCCUGAUAACCCCCAGGACUAGCAGGGGCCAUACCUAUGACUGUGGCUCUGAAAAAGCGAGUUGAAUCAAUCUGCUGAAAGAAGGAUAGCGCCCUCUCCAGGGUCAGGUGGGGUUCAGGAAUUUGUCUGAAAUGAGACUGUCUGGUGUAUGGUGUCUGGAAGGACAGGAGCCAAAGGAGUGUCAGAGACCUGGUGUGGAUUAAGUGAACCCAGCCUCAGGAUUAGGUGAACUUGUUAGAAGGGCCCGCUGCUUUUCCGUCUCUGCCCCCAGGAGUUUUUUUAUCUCCUUAAGCUCAAAUAAAAGAAGCAAGUGAGGACAGCCAGUGGGCCUGGGGGAAGCGUGGCUUAGGGAGGGGUUUAGCACUAGUUCUCUGUACCCCCUUUCCUCCCAGAGACCACAUCUUCCCGUUCCUCCAGUUUCCUAAGAAAGCCAAAGAAGGAAAUUAACAUGAAAAAGAGAAUUAUAAGUAUUCUGCUGAGCUCUUCAUAUCCAUGAUCCAUUAAAAACUUGAAAAAAGAAUCAAUUUUCUUAUUUCCAGAUAGGCAAAUGGAGGCUUAGAGAUGAAGUCAUCCAAUCUGGGACAUUUUUAAGAGUAAAAGGGGGUGCUAAAAAUACUUAUAAUUACACACGUAUAUAUUUUAAAGUAUUUAUAUAUUAUCCGAGAAAUUUGUUUUAUUAUAAUUUUAGACAUAAAAUAAUUCUAGUCAAAAACUCUUAUUAAGAAUAAAAUUCUUUCUUAAAAAAAUUAACAGGUAUAAACAAGGAUUAUCUCUGGCAAGUGGAGUUGUGUGCUUUCCCUGAUGUUAAGUGACUUUUCCAAGGUCGUGCAGCUAAUUAAGUGACAAAGCCAGCAAAGCCAAUCCGUUUUCAUGAUUUCAUGCUACUUAAUUUUGGGGGAGAAGGUUGCCAGAAUGUUCCAGAAGUUUACUUUCAGGCUCAGGCUUGCCUCUCUUUCCACUUGUGGUUUGGAUUUGUCUGUCAGGCCAUUUCCCUCCCACCUCAGCUCUUUCCAAUAUGGCUCCCCUUCGGCCAUGUUUGCUAGGUCAUUCCCUAGGUCUCCUCACUGCUGGCACUCCCUGACAGCUGUGUGGAACUUGGCCUGAUGGCAGACCCUCCCCCUGCCUUGACUUCCAGCACUUGGGUGUUACCAGGCCCUGGCUGUCUUCCCCUCAGAUCUUCUGUGUUUCCUGAUCCUUCAUGGCCCCCUUGGGUUCUGGCCGCUGGGUCUGCCUUGACCACUAGCCCUCAAACAUGAUCCUGGGAACCAGAGUAUGGUUCCCUUGCCGCAGAGCUUGGCCUGCCUCUUCCUGACCUGGUCCACAGAUUCCUCCCCAGCUGUGGUUCCUUCACCCCGCCUCCACACCCACAUUCACAACUUGAUAGUCGUUGAGAUUUAAUCAACUAGUUCAUUGAGAAAUCCAGGUGUAUACCCAUCUGAUUUGAAGUGAUUUCGUUUAAUGAAGAUAAUCAUGUGGCCCAGGUUUUCUGGGGCAGCCCUAAUUUUAAAUAUUAUGUCUCUUUGUCCUCACAGAAAUGGAGUAUUGAAAAUCCCAGUAUUUUGGCAUAUAAACCCCAUCUUGUAGAUUGCCUCAGGCACCCAGGAAAAAUAAAAUAAAAUAAAUCCCUAGUUAGACAAUAUGCCCUACCUUUGGCUCAGGACAUAGAAGUCAUUGUUAAAACUUUAUUUUGGUCAGCGGGGGUGAGCCUAGGAGAGAACAGCUUUUUUGUUUGUUUUUGAAAAUCUCGUCAGUAUUGGUGUCCUGUUGUUGUUCCUGCUUUCUGCAAAAAAUAAACUUGCUUGUCUUCGCUGGAUGGCCAACGUGAUUUUCGCUGAGUAGUACUGUGUCUCCCAAGUCAGCACUUAAUACCAUGUUUGUUGUGACAACCUAAGAGAUGUAGAUAUCUUCCCGGUGAGAUUUGCAAGGGCCGGGAUCUCCACGCCCUGUUCUGUCUCCUAUGUCCCCAGAGAAACGGCACUCCCAGCAAAUGCCUGUGCUCCUCUGCUGCAAAUGUCUGCCCUGCCCCCUCCCUGCCGGGGGAGCUUAGUGAGGCCACGCAGAGACCUCAGGACCUCAGAGGAGCCCCAGCCCUAGGCUCUCACCCCCAGUCCAUCCUGGUCCAAUCUGGUCCACUAAGAAGAGGGUGCUUCUCCCACAGGUGGCCUCCCAGGCCUGGUUCCAAUCACUGAGGAAAUAUCACAAAGAGGAGGAGCAUUCUGAGAGGGCACAGCUGCCAGAAUGAGGAGGCGUGGCAUGGAGAAGCAGUCCCACAAUGCCCCACUGGCUCCCUGAGAUGCUUCCAAAAGGGCUCUGUGGCCAAGGGCGCAGUGGAAGGCUUCACAAUGGCUCAGGGUACUCACUGGCACACUGAAGUCUCUGAGAAGUUCUGCAAUAAAGUCCCCAGCUUUUCCAAAAGAUAUUUGACCACAGGAUCUCUUUAUCAUAAU